UACGAAGGGGGCUAGCGUUGUUCGGAAUUACUGGGCGUAAAGCGCACGUAGGCGGUUCGAUCAGUCAGGGGUGAAAUCCCAGGGCUCAACCCUGGAACUGCCUUUGAUACUGUCGAUCUGGAGUAUGGAAGAGGUGAGUGGAAUUCCGAGUGUAGAGGUGAAAUUCGUAGAUAUUCGCAAGAACACCAGUGGCGAAGGCGGCUCACUGGCCCGAUACUGACGCUGAGGUGCGAAAGCGUGGGGAGCAAACAGG
rnacentral:rRNA from 1 species